rnacentral:miRNA from 1 species
UCGAUAUGGGUAGAUUUCAUAGC